rnacentral:rRNA from 1 species
UACGUAGGGGGCAAGCGUUGUCCGGAUUUAUUGGGCGUAAAGAGCGUGUAGGCGGCCAUGUAGGUCCGUUGUGAAAACUCGAGGCUCAACCUCGAGACGCCGAUGGAAACCAUGUGGCUAGAGUCCGGAAGAGGAGAGUGGAAUUCCUGGUGUAGCGGUGAAAUGCGCAGAUAUCAGGAAGAACACCCGUGGCUAAGGCGGUUCUCUAGUACGGUACUGACGCUGAGACGCGAAAGCGUGGGGAGCGAACAGG